rnacentral:tRNA from 1 species
AGAUUUAAAAAUAUAUAUCUAUAUCAUUUUCUUU